GACGAAGGUGGCGAGCGUUGUUCGGAAUCACUGGGCUUAAAGCGCACGUAGGCGGCUCACCAAGUGCUUUGUGAAAUCCCUCGGCUCAACCGAGGAAUGGCUCGGCAAACGGGUGGGCUUGAGGCAGGUAGGGGCAUGUGGAACUCUUGGUGGAGCGGUGGAAUGCGUAGAUAUCAAGAGGAACGCCGGAGGCGAAAGCGAUGUGCUGGGCCUGUCCUGACGCUGAGGUGCGAAAGCCAGGGGAG
rnacentral:rRNA from 1 species